rnacentral:rRNA from 1 species
GUUUGAUCCUGGCUCAGGACGAACGCUGGCGGCGCGCCUAACACAUGCAAGUCGAACGGAACUGUUUUGGAGCUUGCUUCGAGACAGUUUAGUGGCGGACGGGUGAGUAACGCGUGAGCAACCUACCUCUCAGAGGGGGAUAACGUCUGGAAACGGACGCUAAUACCACAUAACAUUCUGAGGUCGCAUGGCUUUAGAAUCAAAGGAGCAAUCCGCUGAGAGAUGGGCUCGCGUCCGAUUAGCCAGUUGGUGAGGUAACGGCCCACCAAAGCAACGAUCGGUAGCCGGACUGAGAGGUUGAACGGCCACAUUGGGACUGAGACACGGCCCAGACUCCUACGGGAGGCAGCAGUGGGGGAUAUUGCACAAUGGAGGAAACUCUGAUGCAGCGACGCCGCGUGAGGGAAGAAGGUCUUCGGAUUGUAAACCUUUGUCCUUGGUGACGAUAAUGACGGUAGCCAAGGAGGAAGCUCCGGCUAACUACGUGCCAGCAGCCGCGGUAAUACGUAGGGAGCGAGCGUUGUCCGGAUUUACUGGGUGUAAAGGGUGCGUAGGCGGCUCUGCAAGUCAGGUGUGAAAACCAUCGGCUUAACUGAUGGACUGCAUUUGAAACUGUGGGGCUUGAGUGGAGUAGAGGCAGACGGAAUUCCCGGUGUAGCGGUGAAAUGCGUAGAGAUCGGGAAGAACACCAGUGGCGAAGGCGGUCUGCUGGGCUCUAACUGACGCUGAGGCACGAAAGCAUGGGUAGCAAACAGGAUUAGAUACCCUGGUAGUCCAUGCCGUAAACGAUGAUUACUAGGUGUGGGGGAGUCUGACCCUCUCCGUGCCGGAGUUAACACAAUAAGUAAUCCACCUGGGAAGUACGACCGCAAGGUUGAAACUCAAAGGGAAUUGACGGGGGCCCGCACAAGCAGUGGAGUAUGUGGUUUAAUUCGAAGCAACGCGAAGAACCUUACCAGAUCUGACAUCCAACUAAUUCCUGUAGAAAUAUGGGAGUGCCCUUCGGGGAAAGUUGAGACAGGUGGUGCAUGGUUGUCGUCAGCUCGUGUCGUGAGAUGUUGGGUUAAGUCCCGCAACGAGCGCAACCCUUGUGAUUAGUUGCUACGCAAGAGCACUCUAAUCAGACUGCCGUUGACAAAACGGAGGAAGGUGGGGACGACGUCAAAUCAUCAUGCCCCUUAUGAUCUGGGCUACACACGUACUACAAUGGCCAUCAACAAAGGGAAGCAAAGCCGCGAGGCGGAGCAAAUCCCCAAAAAUGGUCCCAGUUCGGAUCGCAGGCUGCAACCCGCCUGCGUGAAGCCGGAAUUGCUAGUAAUCGCGGAUCAUCAUGCCGCGGUGAAUACGUUCCCGGGCCUUGUACACACCGCCCGUUACACCAUGGGAGCCGGUAAUACCCGAAGUCGGUAGUCUAACCGCAAGGAGGGCGCCGCCGAAGGUAGGAUUGGCGACUGGGGUGAAGUCGUAACAAGGUAACC